GAUGAACGCUAGCGGCAGGCCUAAUACAUGCAAGUCGAGGGGUAGCAAGAUUGUAGCAAUACAAUUGUUGACGACCGGCAAACGGGUGCGGAACACGUACACAACCUUCCUACAAGUGGGGAAUAGCCCAGAGAAAUUUGGAUUAAUACCCCGUAGCAUAGCGAUGUGGCAUCACAUUGCUAUUAUAGCUUCGGCGCUGGUUGAUGGGUGUGCGGCUGAUUAGAUAGUUGGCGGGGUAACGGCCCACCAAGUCUACGAUCAGUAGCUGAUGUGAGAGCAUGAUCAGCCACACGGGCACUGAGACACGGGCCCGACUCCUACGGGAGGCAGCAGUAAGGAAUAUUGGACAAUUGACGCAAGUCUGAUCCAGCCAUGCCGCGUGAAGGAUUAAGGUCCUCUGGAUUGUAAACUUCUUUUAUAAGGGACGAAAAAAGGUCUUUCUAGAUCGUCUGACGGUACCUUAUGAAUAAGCACCGGCCAACUCCGUGCCAGCCGCCGCAGUAACAC
rnacentral:rRNA from 1 species